UUUAGCUUUAACGGUAUUGUGCCAGUCUAAAUCAUUGUCAUUGUUGAAUUCCGUCUGGGAAUGGAUCAUUGUGCAAAGACCUAGUGUUUUAAAGAACUUGAGGUUUGUUGUUGGUGAUUUUGAUCCACUCUUAUUAAGGUCAGUACGUGAGUCAAUGCCAGGGGUUCAGCGUAAAGGUUCCUGGAUCCACAUUGCUCGGACUUAUACGAUGAUUUAACUACAGCCGGAGAACUAAUUCCGAGUGACGUGCGGGAUUUUCCUGUACAACAUGAUACCAGUACUGUACAACACCCCACAGAUAAUGCGAGUGUACAACAGGUUACCAGGACUGUAUAAAACUCCACAGAUAAUGCGAGUGUACAACAUGAUACCAGGACUGUACAACACCCCACAGAUAAUGCGAGUGUACCACAUGAUACCAGUACUGUACAACACCCCACAGAUAAUGCGAGUGUACAACAGGUUACCAGGACUGUACAACACCCCACAGAUAAUGCGAGUGUACAACAUGAUACCAGUACUGUACAACACCCCACAGAUAAUGCGAGUGUACAACAGGUUACCAGGACUGUACAACAUCCCACAGAUAAUGCGAGUGUACAAGCACUGGCAGCUGUAGAAGAAAAUUAAUCGCAGUCACGAGGGACCGCAGAAUCUGCAAUAAGGCCCGCAGUAAAUAAUAGAAAUGAGCAAGAUAAAAUUUUAAUUGACGAUGAUGAUGAUGAUGACCAUUAUGCAAAUGAACUUAUUUUGAUUGAUGAACCUGAAGAAGGGCCUUGGAUCCACGCAAGUGCCGAAGGGGUGCAGUUUCAUGAUACAGUUGCAUCAGACAGCGAUCCAACUUGCAGUUCAUGUGUUACCAACCGUCCGGUCAUAGCGUGUUGUCCUUGUGGGCAUCAGUGCUUGUGUUUCGAAUGCAAAUUCAAACUGAUAAGAGCACACAGUGAACGAGCGUCACGUAUCACGAAUUAUAAAAUUCCUUGUCCUAUGUGCAAGCAACCAGUCUCGGAUUUUAUUCGAGUUCAUAUUCCGUGAUUGGAUAAUUUAUUUUUUAUUCUAUUUUUCUUCAUAAGUGCCUUAAAAAGAAAGCCUAAACCGUGUCCAAAAGCUCCCACAUUAUUCACUGAAAUAGGAAAUUUUGGCUAAGGCAGAAUAAUUUUCCUUCAUACAUAUUUUUUUUUAAUGGAAAAAUUUGUUUCUAUGUUUUUUAUUUAAUUUAUAUUGAAAAAUAAGCUUUCUUCUUUUAUGCAACCUUAUCCUAACAAAAAAUAUUUUUUUUAUAAUUUUCUGUUUAUU